rnacentral:rRNA from 1 species
UACAUCGGAACGUGCCCGAGAGUGGGGGAUAACGAAGCGAAAGCUUUGCUAAUACCGCAUACGAUCUCAGGAUGAAAGCAGGGGACCGCAAGGCCUUGCGCUCACGGAGCGGCCGAUGGCAGAUUAGGUAGUUGGUGGGAUAAAAGCUUACCAAGCCGACGAUCUGUAGCUGGUCUGAGAGGACGACCAGCCACACUGGGACUGAGACACGGCCCAGACUCCUACGGGAGGCAGCAGUGGGGAAUUUUGGACAAUGGGCGCAAGCCUGAUCCAGCCAUGCCGCGUGCAGGAUGAAGGCCUUCGGGUUGUAAACUGCUUUUGUACGGAACGAAAAGACUCUGGUUAAUACCUGGAGUUUAUGACGGUACCGUAAGAAUAAGCACCGGCUAACUACGUG